GACGAACGCUGGCGGCGUGCCUAAUACAUGCAAGUUGAGCGAUGAAGAUUGGUGCUUGCACCAAUUUGAAGAGCAGCGAACGGGUGAGUAACGCGUGGGGAAUCUGCCUUUGAGCGGGGGACAACAUUUGGAAACGAAUGCUAAUACCGCAUAACAACUUUAAACAUAAGUUUUAAGUUUGAAAGAUGCAAUUGCAUCACUCAAAGAUGAUCCCGCGUUGUAUUAGCUAGUUGGUGAGGUAAAGGCUCACCAAGGCGAUGAUACAUAGCCGACCUGAGAGGGUGAUCGGCCACAUUGGGACUGAGACACGGCCCAAACUCCUACGGGAGGCAGCAGUAGGGAAUCUUCGGCAAUGGACGAAAGUCUGACCGAGCAACGCCGCGGGAGUGAAGAAGGGUUUCGGAUCGUAAAACUCUGUUGGUAGAGAAGAACGUUGGUGAGAGUGGAAAGCUCAUCAAGUGACGGUAACUACACAGAAAGGGACGGCUAACUACGUG
rnacentral:rRNA from 1 species